AGCAAACAAUCCAGGAGACAUCCCUUGGCUUGGCCUGGCUUGACUCGACCUGGCGGUGUGCUCGGCAUGGACCUCGGCUCUACAGACGCCUCGCGCUAUCCACCGGCUGUCAAUCAUGCGGUGACUUGGAGACUCAAGUGGAACCUGCGUACCCUGCAGGACUUGAAGAGGAAG